rnacentral:rRNA from 1 species
AGCAUGAACUUAGCUUGCUAAGUUUGAUGGCGACCGGCGCACGGGUGAGUAACACGUAUCCAACCUGCCUCAUACUCGGGGAUAGCCUUUCGAAAGAAAGAUUAAUAUCCGAUAGCAUAUAUUUCCCGCAUGGGUUUUAUAUUAAAGAAAUUCGGUAUGAGAUGGGGAUGCGUUCCAUUAGUUUGUUGGUGAGGUAACGGCCCACCAAGGCGACGAUCAGUAGCCGGACUGAGAGGUUGACCGGCCACAUUGGGACUGAGAUACGGCCCAGACUCC